UUUGAUGUAGAGAGAUUUGUGACGCUCCGGAGUUUCGGGGAUGUUUGUGACACUGCAAUAGUCCCGCAUCAAAUAAUGUGAAAGAGUAUAUAUGAUGAGCUUAUAUGCAAUGAAUGUAUAGGUAAUAAUAACUGAGCUUAAGACUUAGUUUGAUAUUAAGGCCUAUCUAUCGCUAUUAUAUAACGCAGAAAAUAUGUCGUAACCGACUAAUCGCGAUAUGUGGAACGUAAUAUUACGUACGGAAAUAAAUAUGGUAUCAUAUUAGGCUAUUGGUUUAAGUUCAACGAGUUAUUCUGGGUUGGAUCGUAACAUUUGGUAUCAGAGUCGAUUCACCAGUCGGAAGUGUGAUGUAGACCUUACAUCGCUUGGUGAUCUUGGGCUAACGAGGACGUUAUGGCCUAAACAAGAAAAAUCUGGCAAUACCAAUUGGAAGUAUAAGGUAGGUUUCACAUCACUUGGUGAUCUUGGAUUGAUGAGGACAUUAAGGCCUAAAUAAGUGAUCUUGGGCCAAUGAGGACAUAACUGUCUAAACAUGGAGAGUCUGUAAUAUUAGUCAGAAGUGUGAGAUAGGUCUCAUAUCACUUGGUGAUUUUGGGCUGACGAGGACGUUAGGACCUAAGAAGGGAGUCUUUAACACCAGAAUAAUUCCACAUCAGAUAAUGUUUGAGGAUGUGAUAUACUUAUACGCGAUGGAUACACUAGUAAAAAUAAUUGAGUUUAAACAUAUUGAGCCCAACAAAUUUUU
rnacentral:lncRNA from 1 species